GUUUUUUCUCAGGCAGCAAUGUCUGAGAAACGUUCACUGUGAACAAAUCAGGACGCUUAGAGUAUGGUUACAAGAAUGACUCAGCGCAGUAUGAAUUUUUUGUUUUCGCAUGAAAACAAGCUCAACGAGAGCCAUCGGGGGUAGAUCUAUCUCAUGACGAGUGGUGGAAUACGGUGACUCAUGAGAGAGACACGGAGGCGAAGGCGUCUACCUAGAGGGUUUCUGUCGAUCAAGGGCGAGAGUAGGAGUAUCCAACAGGAUUAGAGACCCUGGUAGUUCCUACUAUAAACGAUGCCGACAGGAGUUUGUCAUUUAAUAAUGGCAGAAUCUUUGGAGAAAUCAUAGUUCUUGGGCUCUGGGGGAACUACGACCGCAAGGCUGAAACUUGAAGGAAUUGACGGAAGGGCACACCAGGGGUGGAGCCUGUGGCUUAAUUUGAAUCAACACGGGGAAACUUACCAGGACCAGAUGUUUUUGAUGACUGACAGGCUUUGGGUCUUUCAGGAUAAUAUUUUUGGUGGUGCAUGGCCGUUGGUGGUGCGUGGGUUGACCUGUCUAGCGUUGAUUCAGCUAACGAGCGAGAUUAUCGCCAAUUAUAUACUACGCCUAGGUUUCUAGGUUGC
rnacentral:rRNA from 1 species